rnacentral:lncRNA from 1 species
UUAUUUCCUAAAUCACCCUCAUUUUUCAUGUUAAAAAUGAAUGUUAAGGAUAAUUUGGAUAACUCAGCCAUUUUAGACUCAUUAAUUUCAAAACACUCCCUAUUAAUUAGCAGGCCUAUUUUUGUCUCCAGAUAUCCCCCAAAACAUUUGCAACGAAACAUUUUUCAUUCUUUUCAGACACUUGCCAAGAUAAGUUUGAUUGUACUAUUUUCCCCUGAGUUUUCAAAAAGAUGUCUUAUUUCUUACUAAACUUCUUUGUUAAAGCAGAGAUUUUUAUGUCAUUAUUUCAUAUUCAAAUCAAUCAUUAAAGUUGUCAUUGUAGGAAAAGGAUAGAUACUGAGAUCUGAGCUCUUCUAACUCCCUGUCUUGAUCAUUUGGCUAAUGCUCAUCCAAAAGAAAGAUUAUUUAUGUUUUAGAGACAAACAUUUAAAUGAACCAAUUAUGAGCAAUAUCUAAAUCUAAAGUUUAGCUAAGGACGCAUACAUGCACACAUACUCACAUAUAAAUACAUGUUUAUACUCUUUGAAUGGUGACAUAAAAACUGAAAAUUGAAGAGGAUUCCAUCAUUAGGUGAAUGAUUUGACAAUUUGAUAUAUUAAUGUGGUAGAAUAACAGUGUGCUUUUAGAAAUGAUAGAGAUGGUUUCAGAGAAAUUUAGGAAGACUUGUUUGAAUCUGAUGAAAAAUAAAGUGAGCAGUUAUAGAAAAACAAUUCAUAAAAUAACUAAGUUCAUAACCAGCUCUAACAUGUUAAUACAGAAUUAUAAUUACUUUUCUUUCUUCAUCACCAGGGGCAGCUGGAUGGAGUGUAGGCUUCAAAUCGGGGAGACAACUUCAAAUCCAUCCUCAGAUUUCUCUGAAUUGUUUUCCAUAAAGGCUGUGGGUCAAAAUCAAAUGUACACCAUGGGAGUGGAGCCAAGAUGGUACAGUUAUCCUCAGAAGUGCUGUGCCACCAUGAGAAUCCUCUCCAUCCAUAAAAUAAAUACAAGAAUGAAAGAACCAAAAAGGAGACAGAGUGAAAAUUUUUAAGAAAAGAAAACCCCCAAAAUAGGCAAUGGAUAUCUGGGGGACUUGGGUGAGAGGAAAGCAGGUCCAGCAAGAAGUUGUGGUAAGAAGGGAAGGGUAAGCCAAGAACCAGGCACACACCACCACCACAUAUCUGCUGUAUGAGGUUUGAGAACUUAUGCCUGGGCCAAAAUCCAGGUCCUGAGGCACUGCCUGAGCAAAAAGAGGUAUGUGCUAACCCAUACUCCUUGAAAUUUUAAACCUGUGAAGAAGUCUGGAGCCCUAGCCCAGGGAAUUUUAGGUUGGGCUUGGGACAAGACUUAAUUCAAAACUUUGGGGUGGAUGAUAGUACUAAAUAUUAAGUACUGCUCUUAUUGUCUGAAUAGCAUGAGGGAGUUCCAAGAUUGGACAAUGAAGGGUGUUCCUGACUGGGUUAGAUACACAGUGAGACCAAAAAUUUGAGACUAAGCCUGAGGCAAGAAUUUGAUGAGUCCCUGACCUGAUCAAGAGCACAGUGAAAUCAAAAGCAAAUACCCAAGCCUGAGGCAAGUCCUUAAUCUAUCAGCAUCACAAGGGUCAAUUGAUCAUCCCCUACCCCCAAAACUACCUAUAAUUAGAUAGGCAAAAUGAGCAAACAUCAAAAAAAACCAGGUAAAUCUAAAGAAUGUUUAUGGAGACAAAGAACAAGGUACAGACACAGAAGGGGACAGUGAAAGCAAAGGAAAUACACCCAAAGUCCAAAAGAAAAUUAUGGAUUGGACACAGAUUUAGGAAGAAUUCAAAAAGGACAUCAAAAACCAAUUAAAAGAUGCAGAAGAAAAGUAGGAAAGAGAAAUGAAAGUGAUGCAAGAAGAAAAGGGCCAAUUGAAAAAAGGAGAACCAAGAACUGACAGAAGAAAAUCAUGCCUUAAAAAUCAGAAUUGGCCAUAUAGAAAUUAAUGAUUGCAUUAGAAAUAAAAAAAAAUAAAAAAGCA